rnacentral:rRNA from 1 species
AUUGAACGCUGGCGGCAGGCUUAACACAUGCAAGUCGAGCGGUAGCACAGGGGAGCUUGCUCCCUGGGUGACGAGCGGCGGACGGGUGAGUAAUGUCUGGGAAACUGCCUGAUGGAGGGGGAUAACUACUGGAAACGGUAGCUAAUACCGCAUAACGUCGCAAGACCAAAGAGGGGGACCUUCGGGCCUCUUGCCAUCAGAUGUGCCCAGAUGGGAUUAGCUAGUAGGUGGGGUAAUGGCUCACCUAGGCGACGAUCCCUAGCUGGUCUGAGAGGAUGACCAGCCACACUGGAACUGAGACACGGUCCAGACUCCUACGGGAGGCAGCAGUGGGGAAUAUUGCACAAUGGGCGCAAGCCUGAUGCAGCCAUGCCGCGUGUGUGAAGAAGGCCUUCGGGUUGUAAAGCACUUUCAGCGAGGAGGAAGGUGGCGAACUUAAUACGUUCAUCAAUUGACGUUACUCGCAGAAGAAGCACCGGCUAACUCCGUGCCAGCAGCCGCGGUAAUACGGAGGGUGCAAGCGUUAAUCGGAAUUACUGGGCGUAAAGCGCACGCAGGCGGUUUGUUAAGUCAGAUGUGAAAUCCCCGGGCUCAACCUGGGAACUGCAUUUGAAACUGGCAAGCUAGAGUCUCGUAGAGGGGGGUAGAAUUCCAGGUGUAGCGGUGAAAUGCGUAGAGAUCUGGAGGAAUACCGGUGGCGAAGGCGGCCCCCUGGACGAAGACUGACGCUCAGGUGCGAAAGCGUGGGAAGCAAACAGGAUUAGAUACCCUGGUAGUCCACGCUGUAAACGAUGUCGAUUUGGAGGUUGUGCCCUUGAGGCGUGGCUUCCGGAGCUAACGCGUUAAAUCGACCGCCUGGGGAGUACGGCCGCAAGGUUAAAACUCAAAUGAAUUGACGGGGGCCCGCACAAGCGGUGGAGCAUGUGGUUUAAUUCGAUGCAACGCGAAGAACCUUACCUACUCUUGACAUCCAGAGAACUUAGCAGAGAUGCUUUGGUGCCUUCGGGAACUCUGAGACAGGUGCUGCAUGGCUGUCGUCAGCUCGUGUUGUGAAAUGUUGGGUUAAGUCCCGCAACGAGCGCAACCCUUAUCCUUUGUUGCCAGCGGUUCGGCCGGGAACUCAAAGGAGACUGCCAGUGAUAAACUGGAGGAAGGUGGGGAUGACGUCAAGUCAUCAUGGCCCUUACGAGUAGGGCUACACACGUGCUACAAUGGCAUAUACAAAGAGAAGCGACCUCGCGAGAGCAAGCGGACCUCAUAAAGUAUGUCGUAGUCCGGAUUGGAGUCUGCAACUCGACUCCAUGAAGUCGGAAUCGCUAGUAAUCGUAGAUCAGAAUGCUACGGUGAAUACGUUCCCGGGCCU